rnacentral:rRNA from 1 species
GAUGAACGCUGGCGGCGUGCCUAAUACAUGCAAGUCGAGCGAACGGACGAGAAGCUUGCUUCGCUGAUGUUAGCGGCGGACGGGUGAGUAACACGUGGAUAACCUACCUAUAAGACUGGGAUAACUUCGGGAAACCGGAGCUAAUACCGUAUAAUAUUUUGAACCGCAUGGUUCAAAAGUGAAAGACGGUCUUGCGGUCACUUAUAGAGGGAUCCGGGCUGCAUUAGAUAGUUGGUAAGGUAACGGCUUACCAAGGCAACGAUGCAUAGCCGACCGGAGAGGGUGAUAGGCCACACUGGAAGGGAGACACGGUCCAGAGUACUAAGGGAGGCAGCAGUAGGGAAUCUUACGCAAAGGGCGAGAGCCUGACGGAGCGAGGCCGAGUCAGUGAUGAAGGUCUUCGGAUCGUAAAAAUCUGUUACUAGGGAAGAACAUCUGUGUAAGUAACUGUGCACAGCUUGACGGUACCUGAUAAGAAAGCAACGGCUAACUACGUG